rfam:Trichobilharzia regenti genome assembly, scaffold: TRE_scaffold0036445
CAUCUAGUGACGAGUCCCAAAUAGGACGAAAUGCGCAUCCUGAGU